UGAAUAUUGGAGCUAAAAUUUGGUGCCAUGACUUUGGGGAUUUUCGGCCAAAUCCAAAGGGUGGAAUUUUGGGUUCUUGUUUGACUUGUUAAAAGUGUUUUCAAGUGACUUUUGGAACCCCUAUGUACCCUAGUUUGGUUAGAUGUUAUUUCCCUAAAGUUUGAAUGGUUUUGGAAUGUUUUGGGUGGAAAAAGUUCAUGGAAAAAUUUUGGGUUUUUCAUGAAUGUUCUUCAUUGUUCUUGACAUUUUUGCCAAGAACAAAAAGGUUUGUGUUUUGAUUCAAAGUUUUGAUUUAUUUCAUAAAGUUUAUGUUUUAUGUUUUUCAAAUGUUUUAAUGCAUUAGACAUUUAUUUGAAAGGUGAUGGAAAUGGUGAUGGGUGUGUAAGGAUUAAUUCCCUUUCACACACACCACUUGCACCACUUGCAUGCUUUAUGUCAAAACUCACAAAUCAACACACACAUCACUCCAUUUCUUCUUCCAAAACCGGCCCUCCCUCAAGUGGGAGUACUUUUGGGGCUUUUAUGCAAUUACAUAAAGUUUUGAUACUUUUGUGUAUUUGCACUUUGGCCCAAAAGUUUACGUUUUUACGUUAAGGUCCAAAAACGCUAAAGGACAAAUUGUUUUGAUCCUUUAAUGAAGUUUUUGCAUUGAUUAAAUUUUGGGUUCUAUUGUAAUUACAUGAAGUAGUGGACUUUUGUGUCUUUACAAAGUGACCCCAAAAGUUUUGCAACAUAGCCCAAAAGUUGAGGUUAAUUGCUUUAUGACCCAAAUAAGUUGUGGUUAUUGCAUAUUGGCCCAAAUUAAGUAGAGAACAAAAUUGUUUUGUCUCUUUAAAUGAG
rnacentral:lncRNA from 1 species